AAAAUAUGCAAUCCGAAAGGUGGGGAACCGCUGAAAGGAAAAGAUUAUGAAUUUGUAGUUGGCCAUUAAGGAACAUAAAUGAAAACCAUCAAUAACAAUGAGGAAUUAAGAUUACCAAACAAUUAAAAAAUGUGUCACCAAGGAGUAAGACAGCGUUGACCGAGUGCAUACAAGCAUUCAGCUGCAGUUGAAUGAAAGGACACCAUUUAAUUGAAAAAUUUUUGCAAUGAAAGGAGCUAUCUACUAGUUUUUGAGCAUAAAUAUAAUGCUGCUGUUUCUUUGCAAGCUUUUUUUAUGACAUGACUUGCUCAAUGUAAGUCUGAGACUCCAAAAUUUUGAAAGAAAGGAAGGCAUGCAUGGCUAAUGUAACAUUGGUUCUUUGACAUGAGAAGCUAAAACCAACUUAAAAAUUUUGAGAAAAAAAAAAAAAAAGAUCAUUCUCACAUGAAUUACAGACCAUCAAUUUACACAAUGGUUAUAUACAACACUUCUACUCAAUUUCUUAGAAACACUGUCCAAUUCUAAGGUAAAGUACUACCAGAACUAGAAACAACAUACCAUGAAUACCAACUACGUUUUACUUAGAGAAUGAUUCUGCAGUAGUUACAGAGAAUGAGUAGAAUGCAACUAUCUGAUUACUAAACAGGAAAAAUAACUUAUUUCUUACAUGGCCCUCACAACCUUAAGUUGCUAUCUUAUAGUUGGGACCCACUAUGAUCCUUUAUGCACCAUCCAAUACAGCAAGUAACAAGCAGUGAGAUGAUAGGCUGAUACUUACAAAAUCGAGAGUAUAAUAUUUGGA
rnacentral:misc_RNA from 1 species